rnacentral:rRNA from 1 species
CACAUGCAGUCGAACGAUGAAGGGGAGCUUGCUCCUUGGAUUAGUGGCGAACGGGUGAGUAACACGUGAGUAACCUGCCCUUGACUCUGGGAUAAGCGUUGGAAACGACGUCUAAUACCGGAUAUGACCUGUGACGGCAUCGUCUGCAGGUGGAAAGAAUUUUGGUCAAGGAUGGACUCGCGGCCUAUCAGGUAGUUGGUGAGGUAACGGCUCACCAAGCCGACGACGGGUAGCCGGCCUGAGAGGGUGACCGGCCACACUGGGACUGAGACACGGCCCAGACUCCUACGGGAGGCAGCAGUGGGGAAUAUUGCACAAUGGGCGAAAGCCUGAUGCAGCAACGCCGCGUGAGGGACGACGGCCUUCGGGUUGUAAACCUCUUUUAGUUGGGAAGAAGGGAGCUUGCUCUUGACGGUACCAGCAGAAAAAGCACCGGCUAACUACGUGCCAGCAGCCGCGGUAAUACGUAGGGUGCAAGCGUUGUCCGGAAUUAUUGGGCGUAAAGAGCUCGUAGGCGGUUUGUCGCGUCUGCUGUGAAAUCUGGGGGCUCAACCCCCAGCCUGCAGUGGGUACGGGCAGACUAGAGUGCGGUAGGGGAGAUUGGAAUUCCUGGUGUAGCGGUGGAAUGCGCAGAUAUCAGGAGGAACACCGAUGGCGAAGGCAGAUCUCUGGGCCGUUACUGACGCUGAGGAGCGAAAGCAUGGGGAGCGAACAGGAUAG